UAUGACCUGAUGGGGUUGGCUUUUAUCCCCACUCAGUGUAAUUCCUUAAAGAGUUAUUCCUCCAAGCCACUGCAAGUAACAGUGGUUUGAUCUGUUUUUACCACUAAACAGUGUUCCACGGUAGGGAGGCAUUGCGGCUUACUCAACUACCCAUCUGCUGAAGGACCUGUGUUCAUUUUGGAUAUUAGGAAGAAAGCUGUGGGAAACAUACACAUCCAGAUUUUUGUGUGAACAUUAGUUUUCAUUUCUGUGGGGUCACCUGGCAAGAGGAGAAUGGCUGGGUUGUGUGGUCACUGCCUGUUCAGCUUUUAAAGAAUCUGACAAAUGGUUUCCCAGGGGGGCUGCACCAUGUUACCUGCCCACGGCCACUUAAUGGGAUCUUUUACGGAGCUGAAAUUUAUGGUGUCGAUGAGAGCCGCCUUCCUUAAAUUACUCCAGUGGUGAUUUCAGAUUGAAUUGGAGUCACAGCCCGGGAAUAAUUCAUCCCCCGAUCUCAACCGGCGUUGGAGUCAACAGCGCACGGCACACGUUGAGCUUGCUGCUUUAUUGUUGGAAUUCCAUAAUCUACGAGGCACUCUCAGUCAUGAAGUAGCUCAUUAUUAAAAUAUAAUAUUACGUUC